rnacentral:lncRNA from 1 species
AUAUCCUAAUCAUAGCAUCAUCUAGACCCUUGAUUAUCAAGGAAGGUUCUAAUACCAUUGUAAGGCUGUAGUAUGGCAGCGAAAGGGUAAUGUUCAAAAAUUUUUAUUUAAUGAACAUCAAGACAACCGAAUCCUAGAAUCCAAAAAUCUCUUGAUAAUUACCAUCAAAGCAGAAUUUAAAUAUUUUAUUCAGAAGCAUACCUGUAU